CGACGGCUCUGCCAUUUUCUGCUGGGCUGCGCGUUGGCAUUGAAAGUGCGGCAGGCGAGCUGCCAACAACGCUCCAUUCCCAGCAAAUCUCCAAUCGGAACCAGAAGAAUUCUAAGCACAACAAAAAGUACUUUAAUACCACAAAAAAGCCAACAAACAAUUCCCCUUUUAUUUGUUACAAAUUAGACACGCAAAUGACAUCAACAGCUAAAUUGAAUUUGUCAGAACCAACCCAAUCACAAUACGAAAGCAAACAACAAUGCAAAAUAAUUGCAAAUUAAUUGUGUUCAAUUCUACUACAAGUGCUUGUCAAAUUAAAAAAAAAAAUACUCAAGCCAAAAUAAAUAUAAAUUAUUCCUUGCCCAAAAUAAUUAAAAUCAUUUAACCUGCAUUCUAUAGUGCGCUCCGGAAUCACGGAAAUAAAGAACGGAAGAAAGAGAAAGAGAGAAAUGGAUUUCAAAAUGCAAGUGCAUUUCACAACUAUUUUAAAUACGUGCCCCAAACCAGUGAGUUCUUAUUACAUGAAAAUGAUAGAAUAUUAAAAAAAGGAAAUUGGAAUAUUAUUUGUGAAAAUACAAUUAAAAAUAAAAAUUCUUUGGCAGAAGAACAUAAAAUCAACAAAGAUUUUAAGAGGGUGGUGAGCUGCGUCAGCAUGGAAAUUUAAUUAGCGACAGUUCAGUUCAGCUGAGCAGCGCUAAGUCGAAAGGAUUUGACUGACCCGCCCUCUAAAUUCACCCACCCACAUCCCACUCGGUCGAAAAGGGGGUGGGAGAUUUCGUUGAUUUUUGCAUGACGACAGCAAAAAGCGAAAAGGCGGAACAACAAUCGAAAUGCAACUGAACGUGCGUGUGUUGGUGUGCAAGCGAGGCGGCCUAUAUACAGCAGACAUGCGCUCUCACUCAGAGACUUGAACUUGAAAACUCUUUACUGCCGGCAAAAAUCGAGAGAAACAGAAAGAGAGACGCAGCAGGUAUGUGUUUUGUAUGAGGAGCUGUUUGCCAUUGAUUAAGUUAAACAAAAACAAAAUCAGAGCAGAGUACUAGCUUCGCUCUCAUAGCGUUUGCUCUUUUGCGAGAGUGUGAGUGUGUCAGAGAGGAGCUUUUGCGUGGGCGGCUUAAAGCAGCGCAGUCGACGUCGCUGCCAGCGUCGGCCAACUGUUUGCUGUUUUGUUGUUGUGUAGUCACAUACUGUUGCAUACCUAAGGGGAUAGGAGGAUAUGGGAGAAAAUCGGACGAAAAGCGGGGUGAAAGGCGGUAAAAUCAGGCAGUGGAGGAGGGGAAGUGACCUCCACCUGUGCGAGCCCAGCUGCAGCUUCCCUGUUGGCCAAGUUUAUUCGGUGACGAGCGGGCGACCGAUGAGGUCAGCAUCACGCAUACGCCUAGUUAUCCCCUGUAUCCUGUAUCCUGUAUCCCGUAUCCUGUUCAGUGUCGGUAUCGGUGUGUGCGAGUGCUUGUUGGUGUGUGUUUUGUUCUUCCCAAGUUCAUUUUAAAGGCGCGUCGCCCUUAAUAGCAAAAUCAGGUGUGGAGAAUUGAUUAGCACAGCCCAAAAUAGGAGAAAAAUUCAAACAAUAUGGUUGGUGUUUUGUGUAUGUAUGUAUGUACUUACAUAGAACUCAAGUGACGCACGCCAGCAUAUGGCAAUUAAAUUUGAAUAAUUAAGCAGCUGAGUACGACACGAACCGAACUCUCCUCCACACAGACAUAUGUAUGUAUGUACUUGUAUGUACAUACAAUACCAACUCACACUUUGGGCAUGUGCAACACUCGUUCUUGUUGUCUUGCACCUUGACCUUUCCACACCCAUGCAGCAAUACGCGUGGGCAGCAUUCGGAUACACACGCCCAUAUUGAGGGGAUCGGGAAUAUGGAUAUACAUAUAUACUCGUUUAUGUGGAACAACCCACAAGUCGGCUGGCAGCUGUUGGAGCCGAAUCCAAGGAGACGAGAUGCAAGCCAAAAGCACUUCGGUUAUCCCCCAGAAAAGGUCCAGUUUGGCCAACGGAAAGUUUUGGACACAGGUCACAGAUGGCAAAAGUGCAAUAAAUUAAAUAUCAAGAAAAGACCAAGAAAUAGUGAACAGUUGAAAUAGUACAAGAGUUUUUAGAUAAAGUGAUUAAAUAAAAUAACUUGCGAAAAUAGGUUUCGGACUAAAAUAAAUCAGAAAUCAAUUAAUAAGGGCUAGAAACCAAGUUUUAAUUAAUUGUUUAUUAUAUAUCCUCUACAAUUUAUGGAGAGUCUAUGAGGAGGGCCGUAGUUAUAUCUUGUAUCACAUCAAAAGUCUCUAAGUAUCAGAAACCAAUGAAAUUCAAUUGUUAGUAAAGGAAUUAAAAAUUCAUUAUUGAUUUAAUUGUUAAAGAUUCAUUAUAAAUAAUUUUAAAUAUAUUACUUUAUCAAUAUCAACAUCUGGAAAUGAAUAUUAAAAUUAAAGUACAUUGGUUACAGAAAAUUAAAAAAAACUAUUAUAAGCGGUUUUAGUAACUGACUUGAAAAGAGGUAAUAAUUUUAAAACUAAUAUUUUAAAUAUUUCACAAAUUUGAAAGGGAUGCGUUAGAGCAAGAAUAUAUCAAUUAGGACUGUGUGGAAAUAUCAAAUUUAUUUUCAACAUAUCUCACAACUUAAUACAUUGAAGUGAUAAACAAAUAAGUGUGCGUAAAUGUGAUUUAACUGAAAAACGUAUGUAAAAAAAGUGCAGCUGAAUAAAAAACAUUGUGGAAACUUCAUCUGUAGCUUGAAGCAGAGCGAUAAAAGUGGUUUGUGUACUUGCUGAGCUUUCCGCGAAAAGCUGAAUUUCCAUAUGCAACUGCCAUUGGGAUACACCCUGUGCUCGCUUUGAAUAAACUGCAGCAAGUGAACACAGCUGGUGGUAUCCAGUGGCCGUUUGGCAUCCUUGCAGCUCCAGAUACCUCCAGGUCCAGGAUAGCUCCUACCUUCAGUAUGCGGUAAGUGCCUCGUCAAAUCUACCAGUUUACUGCUCUGGAUAAUACCAUUUGUUUUGCAAGUCCAAUUUAUCAAUAAUUUUCAUUUCGUUUAAUUGUUUCGUACUUUCCGUUAUAAACCUAAUUUUGCCAUACUAAAAAGAUGUUCUCUUAGCCAUAAGCUUCAGUUCGUUUCAACCAAGUAUUCAUUUUUCCCCAAAAAAAAAAAAAUAAAAAAAAAAACAAUGAAAAGAGAUAAAUUGGAAUUUGAAUAAAAUAAUCUUAAGACUUAAGAAUCGUUUAAGAAAAUAAUCAGUGAGAAGACAAAAAUUGCAUAUGAUUAUUAUACUCAGCAUUUUCUUGUUACACAUUCAAAAUAAUUAUAAUUUCGCUUUUGGUUUUCCGCUUGCUCCGAAUUUCUUUUCGAUUUGAAUGUAUUAUUUACCCCCACUUACCACAUGCACAUGGGGGCGGAUUGGUGUGGGGAUUUGAGGUGCGAUGAUGGGCGCAUCGAAUGCAACGCUCUGAAAACUCUUUAAACCAUUUAUUAUGCCCCGCACAAAAAGCAAACCGUCCGUAGAAAUGAGUGAAAUUUCAGCGAGGAGCGGUCCAAUCAGUUUUAGAAAUCGCUGGCAGAAACAAUUAAAAAGAUGUUCAUGCUGCAAAUUGAUUUUGUUUGCGAUUUAUAUAUAUAUAUAGAUUUAUUUUCGCCCAUUUUUUGUUGUUUUCACCCAGUCGCGUGCACUUGCCGCAAAACGAAAGCCAUUGGUAUUUUCUAUUUUCGUUUCGCUUCGGCUUUUUGGCUCAAACACUGGCGAUGCGAUGCAAUGCGAAUUUGCCAACAGUUCUUGAUCCGAAGUGCAGCUGUGCAAAGGCAACUUGGUGACAUUAUUUCGACAUUUGCCUGCUCGCGGCUGCAGCCACUUUUGUCACUUUUGCAUUUCAAAUGACCGUCAAUUAUCCUUUGUCGACACUCCCCUUUGUCUUUCGUAGUUCUCUUUACCCUGAGGUCAAGGAAAACGAAAUUGAUUUUCUGCCCGAGCGAAUUUUUCGUUUCUCCCCCGUGUUUUACGGGUAUAUGUAUAGUUUGGUACGUGUGCAUUUAAGAGUCUUUUUGCUUUCCCCUGUGUUUUAUGCAAUCACUGGGUUCUGUCACUGCCAUGAUUUUUUUUGGUCAAAUGGCAGUGUAAAAUCGGUUUUCCACCGGGGUUAGCCAAACAAUUAUCUGGAUAGUAAUUAAAGACACAGUCAUCGGCACAGUGUGCAUUCUCGGUGACCUCAUGGGCAAGUUUUAUGAUGAAAUUAGCAAUUAGCUGCGAUUGAAGUGCUCGCAUAUAAAACGCCAUCAAAUUCAAUAAAAACUCGCUCUCAAAUAAUAGACAAUGGCUAAGCGCUUGUGACUUACGCAAUCGAGGGAUAUAGAACUCAAGCCUAAGUUUUUUUUCAUCGGAAACAACAAGUUUAUGGCCAACAAAUUAAAUCAUUAAUCUAUAGGCGACUAUGAUUGAGCUAUCAAAAUGAUUUAUUAAAACCAAUGAGCUUUUGUUAUUUUUUGAUAGAUAUUUUGUGUGACCUGCAAUUUUAUAUUUAGAAGAUUUUUUGAUAGAGUCAAGGUCAGCAUUAUGUCUUUAAUAAGGUAUAGUUAAAUACAUAGUAUUAAUAAAAACAAACCUUUAAAAUUUUAUUAGAUUAGACCGUUCACAUUUAUUAGAGAUUGAUUUUCUUUUAGGAGUCUCAGUUUUUCUUAUUGCAAAUCCUCCCAGACAAAAUCAUUUUUCUAAGCUAACAUUAUAUUAAAUGGAGUUUUUCUCAUUCAAUCAACUUCAUAAACUAACUUACAUUGUUACUAAAAGAGACAGUGCAGCCAUUUAUAUACAUUUAAAUUUUUACAAUUUUAAGAGGGUUCGUAUGCACUGUUAAUAUUAAUUCCCCGAUCGUCUGUCUGUCUGUCUGUCAGAGCACUUUAAAUCAUUUAUCGCACAAGAUCGUGUGUCAGCCCUCGUUUUAUCGAAAUAACAUUAUAAAGGCAGUAAGGGCACUAAUUACACGAAAUGCUGCAGGUCAUGCAUGACGAGAUUAACAAUUCCGAUAGCAGCUGUUGGCCUCAGGCGGAACAAUCGCGGUGGAACAGCGGGAUUUUCAAUUUAAGGUUGACCUUAGAACAAAAUUUGAUCGAUAAUUUCGCAUAAUUGUGGAAUCUCUCUCGCAAAAAAAAAAAACUGUGACACACGGACACGCACACAGGGAAACAUCACCUUGAACAUUUAACUGCAACUGUGCAAGAGAGAUAGCUCGAGAGGGAGAGGGGGAGAGUAGUAGAUAAAGAGAGCUAGAUAGUUUGCGUCAUGUGCAACUGCAAAAGCUCUUGGCUUCCGCUGUUCGUCAUUGCCUGAGUGUGUGUGGGAUGAGAGAGCUUUAACCGAAAGCUGGCUCUCCCCCACUCUCUUGCCAGUGCCGAGUGUGUUAGCUUUUUUGAACGAGCCGAGCAGCUGACAAUUGCGCUUCAGCGUUAGACCAAAGUAGUUCGACUUUUUAGUUUUAGCCGCGAAAUGAAAAGUUCGUUCCGUUCUAUGUGUGUGUGCGUGUGUGUGUGUGUUGUGGCAGCUGCAUUUGCAGCGAGAGACAGAAAUACAUUUAAUACAAAAUUCCGCCCUGCAUUUAGUAUAUUUCACCUUAGAGCGUCUUUGCCGCACACACACACACACACACACAUCCGUACGAGAGACAGACACACACGUGGCCAUCAAAACGGUAUCGGUUCGCGUCGCGUUUGGCCUAAAAUUGUAACAGUUUUUCUUUACAAACGGCAACGGCGAAGGCAAAGAAAAGCCAAAAACGCAGCUGCAGUCGACGUCGCUGCCGCUGCAGUCGCCGACGUCCGUUUCUGUUGGCCAAUUGCCGUUGGCCAGCUUCAGUGUUCAUUUUCCCAUCGAGUCGGCAACAACGAGCGGAAGUAGCAGGGGCACACAGCUGGCGGACAGUCGAUCGAUCCACACAACAGCUGAUUAACUGCGUUUUCCAACCCAUAUAGUGUGUUCCUCUUAACCAACCCAACCCGGAUUGCAUAAACCCAAAACUGAAACCCCAAAACACACCAAACUCAAACCCAAGCCCAGACUUUUUCGGUGGCGUAUACGUAAUAUCAGUCGGUUAGCUGCACAUCUGCCAUUGCAAUUGCAAUUCGCUGGGCAUUAUGCAAUGGCACAACAGAUAGACACCCUGUAAUUGGCAUGGCAUGAACAACAACAGAAAAAAAAAAAAAAAAAAACAAUGGCCGUUCGUUCGCUCACACACAUUGUUAAGUAGUUUUUGUGUCUAGUCGGGGCAAUUUGUUUAAAACAAUCAGCAGCACUUGUGUGUGCGCGGUGGCGGCGGCGGCGGCGGCGGCUUUUUCUCUCGCUCGCACCCGCCGCAGCGGCGGUUUUAAAUUUAGUAUCGCUGCAGUUGCUGCUUGUAACCCAAAUUUUGCAUCUCUCUGUGCAGUUCGUUUUCAUCUUAUAUAAGAUGCACAAAACAAAGACCUUGUUAAUUGUUGAACAAGUAGGGGAGCAGUGGAACGGGGCUCAGCUCUGGGCAAGUGAAAUCUCAAUUAAAGUCUGGCUUUCGGCGACUUCAAAAGGGGAAGAUAAAAUUCAGGCGAGGGCAAUUAAAUCGGAGGCACUUGCAAUCCGAGAGCAACAACUCACACUCGGCCACUUGACCUUGCUCGGUUUCGCCAUGCGAACACAGUACGUAUACGCGCUGUGGGCCAGUGUGUUAGUGUGUGAGUGUGUGAGUGUGUGAGUGUGGGGGUAACACAGCAAAUUGCAAUAUUUUGUGUAAAAAUAACGAACCGACUUUUACAUAAGGCCAUCGGUACAUAGAAAAUACACACGCCCACAAGCGAAUAGCCAUUCACCUGCAGUGGUGUGCGUGCGUGCCUGUAGGUGGGUGUUAUGAGGUCGAUUUUUGUUGUUUUUCCCCGCGCUCGUGUGGGUGGAUGACUGAAAAAUGCAUUUGACACAGAAAACAGGCGUGCAAACACAAACAGAUAUCGAAAAGCAGAUAUUUCCUAAGCCAGUGCAAAUUCAUAACGAACAAAAAGCGAUGAAGAAACAGCUUAUCUCAGCCCGAGAAAUACGAAUAUAUUUCUGUGAUUCAUGGCAAAAAUCCACGUUGAUUGAUUUGAUGCCAAGAGGGAAUCUAAAAACCAGUUUAAAGCUUACUAAAAAAAUUUCACAGACACAAACUUAUGAGCCUUAGCGAUUUUCUUUUUGAAGUAUUAAAGCGAAAACUAACACAUCUCAAGCAAGUCAGCAUUAAACAUUUUUCUAUUUUAAAAGUAAUAAAUUUCGUCUUUGGACUUUGCAGUCUGUUAAUCGUUGAGCAGCAUUUAUAAAUAGCUAAGUACGUUUUUAUAAACAUUCGCCAGAGUGCCGCGAAAUUUUCGUUGAAUUUGCAUUUGGAUUUUGGACUUUAACUGAUAUCAGCAGCCGGCAGCAGACAAAAGUUGUCAUCACGUAAAUCCCAAUAAACAGAUAUUAUUAUGACAUCAUUGUCGGCGGCGUUCUGUGAUGGAUCAUUGACUACUAGUAUUUUGUGCCUAGUUAGACAGCAUGUAAAGUAUCAGUUUAGACUCCUAAUUUGUCAGUCAACCAGACUAAAACGAUUAGCAUUUGCUGAUAAGCCAGGUCUAGCAUUCAGCAUUUAUUCGGAAUUUGAAAUACCCCAAAUGAAUCACGUGUUGUUUUCAUUUGCUUUUAAGUAUUUCUGAGAUUUUUCAUAUAUUUUUCAUCGAAUCAAAUAUAUAGCUAUACAUUGUGAAAUGUUUGGUUGCCUUUUGGCUACCAAAAGCGACCUUCAGCCCGGACCGCAAGGUCGUUUGUGGGGAGAUGAGGAGAUGGGGAGAUGGCAAUGCAGCAGCCUGCAAACUACUCCGCAUGGAGGUCGAUCUGCCCCUCGCCCCAUCACUCGCACUACAGCAGUUAUGUAAAGACGAAAUUGGGUCAGUGUUAUGACCCAGUUUAUUGGGGAGGGAAGUCAGCCCCAGCCAUUCAACCCCCCGCAAGUUGCAGUUUGAUAAGUUUGAAACGGACUUUUUGGCACCUCCGAUAAUUACAAUUGGAUGGGCUUCGUGACGCCGCGUAUUGAUUUUUAGUCAGGCCGUCAGCUUACAUACAUAGUAUAGCCAACCUAGAUAGCUCUGGCCUGGCCCAAGUGUAUUGGUAUCUAUCGGAUACACGGCACCAUCCAUGGCCUGGCUGCAGUCGUGAGCUGAGCCAAGGAGCCAAAAAUAAAAAUUCUCUUUGGCUCCGGGCCAAAUGCAGUGCACAUUGGAUUGGCAAGGGUGUGGAUUGGAGGGCGGUUCUUUUGCAGGGUAAAAUGAAAAGUGAAAUGUUGCCAUGCCAUGAACCAAAAACAAAAACAAAAAAAAAAAAAAACAAGAGAAAGCACAGAAAAAGAGCUGCAUAGAAUUUAUCUAUAUUUAUUUGCCAGAAUUCUGACAUUUAUUAGUUUGUCCGAUGAAUUUAGUCGAAGAGUGCUCUAUAAAUAUGGCUUAAAUGCAGUCGGAUGACAAAUUUAUGGCCCACCGCAUAACUCAUCUAUUACCCACUUUGACCCCCUUCGCCGCCGCCUUUUGUGUUGCAAAUUCAAUGCACACUUGUGUGUCAUUUCGCCUGCCACUUAUUACAUCACCCAGAAGGCAAAAUACACGGCACGUUGCCAUACGAUAUAGACACUGCUUGAGGCCUAUAACGAUUUGGGUCAACCUGAGCCUGCCAGCAAAUCUUCACACAAACACGCGCCCUCAUAGAAACGCUUUUAUCGAUGGCUUUUCGGACAAGUAGCAGUCCGUUUGUUGUUCCUUGCGAAACAGUUUAAACUUUGAUGAAUUCACUCGUCAGUUGUUCGAAGAAAGUUGUUCAAAGUAUCUGCAUUAUUUAGCUGUUGGAAAGUUAAGUAAACAAUGUGUUUUCUAAGAAAAUUUGUUAGAAUACAGCUAUAUUGGUGUCAAAAUUGAAUUGGAAUGAAAGUUUCCAAAAACAACUAUUAUUUUAAAGUAAAUAUUUCAAUUCAACACAUUUCAAUAGACAUAAUGCCCAACUUGAUUCUUGUUUUGGCCAGACCUUUCAUUUCUCUAUUUUUUUCUUUCACUCGCACGCAGCGCUGGUCUUUAUGAUCUUCUAUUAGGUUUCACGCCUUUAACGCAUGACUCAGUUUGUUUUGUUCUUUUUAAUUUUAGACUAAAUUGCCAUAAAACCAAAAGCAAAAAACUUGUAUGCUUCAGCAGCGUUCGUCAUAAGUUAGCAGCUGCGUCAAUUGUGGGCUCCAUUAUUAAUAAAUGCCGCUGUGGCAGCCACGUAAAAAUGGUGACGGAAAGAGAGAUAAGUUUAUGGAAUUUCUUACUUCCAGCUUAUCGUGGUCACAUUUCCAUAUCGCUUUGUUGCCAAGCGAAUAAUCCGCUCCCGAAAAACUGACGAAAAACGCCCAAAAACUAAAUCAUUCACAAACAAUUUGUAUAAAAUUUGGGCAGUCAGACAAGGGCUGCCUUCGCUUUUGGACUUGUCUGGCUGUUGUGGUUUCCCGUCUGCAGAUAAAGAAUCGAAUAGCAAACAUUCCGCGUCUGUGAUUACGUAUACGCCGCGUUUACCGAGCUAUACGUUUUCCUCCUCAUGAAUGUAUCUGUAUCUGAGUCAGUCGAGUGUGUAUUUAGCAGAUAAUAAGUGCCAGAGUCAGCGUGCGUGUUUUUUAGUUAUGUGUGGCUGAUCAUGCGACCCACCGAAUUAAAAAGGGGGAACGCUCUCUCCAUUUGAUACUCUUUGUCUGUGGUACUGUGAUUUCAUAAGGCAACAUUUUAUUUAGAUUUUUGCUGUUUAACAAAAUAGUUUUAAAAAAUCUAAAUGUUUUCCUAUUUUGUUUAUAAGUUUCUUUUAAAACCCAAAUGUGCUGUGUAAAAUGUAAAGAGAGAAAUUCAUUCGUUUUAAAAACGAUUUUAUUUAAUCAUCUUUUUUGGAAAGACAUUGUUUUUGUGCUCGGUAUAAAUUUGCUUGGUGAAAAUUAAUUAUUAGAAUCCACAGUCCACCAGGAAAGCAGUAGCACUGAAUAUCGGCUAUAAUUCACAAAUUCUUUUUCCACCUCAGCGCUGGCUUCAUGUUUCACGUUAUACUUUUGGCUCUUGCAAUUCUUUUCGGCCAAGUCAAACAGUAAUUUAUUUAAGUAGCGUUAUGGCCCUCUAUUUCAGUUUGGUAACACUUCGGGUCACUUCCGGUGACGACAACUUCUUCGAAACUCCGUUGGCUGGCAGUGGCAGUGGCAGCUUUUAUGACCCAGAUAAAAGUAAACGUGUUGGCCAACACAGCAAAAAGAGCGGGGGGUCGGGGGCUGAAUGGAGGGGCCAUUGGUUCAUGAAGUGCUAAUGAAAAAUGCUCAGCAUUUGCCUAAUGAAAUUAUAACUGAGCCACUAAGUGGGCCAUAAAGAGGAGCGCGCAGCUUGGAGGGGGACGCGGUGGGGACUGUCAGAAUGGUGGCGAGAAGGUGUUUUGGGGCAUUUUAGAAAUUUUUUCAUUCAACUGCCAGGUCGACCAUGUAACCCAUUUAACGCACAUGGAUACGAACGAUUUGACAGGCACAUGGAAGCACAUUUUGUUUCUUUAUUCAGUUAACGCUUUUUAAGCUCAUGAGCUAGCUUUUCAUUUAUCGAUACACACACAUACGCACACACAGCGACACAAAUGAACAAUAAUUUAUUUAAUUGCCCGAGCUCUUGUUCUUUCGAAAUUAGAACACACACAAGCACACACUCCUCUCGCUGGCACGCGAUUAAAAAACUAAAUGGUUACACACAUUAUGAAUUUUACAAGCUAAGACUGUUUAUUAUCUGUCAGAUAUUCCACACGGUUAUGUGCAUGUGUGCUUAUAGAUGACACAUCGCGUAUACGCAGUGUGUUUGCAGUCAUGUUCGGUCGAUUUUUUAAUUGCGAAAUUUCGGUUCUGUUUUGCUCCGCUCAAAAUUCAAUGUAUUUUGAUUGUAUUCUACAAUAAUUGUUAGCAUUGGUCUGGUUCCUCCACUUCUUGCCUUUGUUGGUUUAGGCCCAAUGCUCGCUCAAUGUUUUGGCCUCGUUGUUGGAUUUAUUUUGUGUUUAUACGCCACACCUAGAGUCAAGUAAAAAGCAGCCAAGCAAGUCAAAAUUGAAGGCUGCAUUGGCCGAACUGCGCCCAUUUGCCGGAAUAGAAAUGAAUCUCUGCUCUAGAAAACAUUGGGAACUGCAUUGAUGAAAUAGUCAGCUUGGGUACAAGUUCUUAAGAAAUUCGGCACUGGAUUACUUUUUGAGCAAUCAGUUUAUAAUCGUCGUGCUUAUCUUAUCGACCCCUUGCAAAUGGGUUCCAGUUUCGAUGUUGAGGGCAUUUCAUUCAGUUUCCGCCUAGAUUUAACCAGCUUACAUGGCGUUGACUGAUAGGCCGCAGCAUAAAUGGGAAAAACUCAGCCCGAAUGACAUGUGGUGACACACAAACGACUUGUAUAACCGAUCGGCGAUCGGCGAUCGACACUCGGCGAUCCGCAUCGACCCACUUUGUGCACACACCCCUCGGGGCCCACCUACAUACUCAUAUCGCCCCGAUCCGUUGGUUAUAGCUUAUCACUAUCAACUACGCACCUUGGCACCUGCGGCUGCUUAUCACCAGUUUCGUGAGCGUUGCGGCCGGUUUCUUAGUUCAUGGUUCAUUGUACUCGGAUUUCCAGUCCCAGUUCCAUUACCGUUCCCGUUCCCACUUCACUUUUGUUCUGCAUGCGUUUGAGCUUUGUUUGUUUGUUGGAGUUACCUUCGUUUUCGGUUUAUCGUCGAAUCCAACCCUCCAGCAAUAGCCUCCAGGAGAUCCAUUGACUGGUCCAAUAGCUGCUCAAUGACACUGCCCCCCACAAAUACGCGACGCCGCGCCGUGCUCAACAUAAUUUUAGUUUCUGUUUCUGUUUCAGUUUCAGUUUAAAAUAAAAACGAUUAAAUGACAAUGCAUCCUUUGAAGGUUUUGGGCUGCGUGUCAGGAGUGCAUUUGCACUGAAACAUUCUGAAGCAUGUAAAUGCACUAUCUGGUACGACAUUCCAGAACGUACAAUCUUCCCGAAUGCAAGAAAAUGCGAGAACAAUAAAUGAAAUAUGCAAUUUUUGUGAUAGUGUGACAAACCAAUUCUCAAACUGAUUUUUACCCUAAACAUAUUAAUAAGAAAUAAAUAAGCUUACUCUUAAGUUACAUAUCUGUAUGACACUGUUUUUAAAUAAAGAAUGCAAUAAAAUAUGAAUAUCUUCUAUGAAGACCUUUGAACUGUA